rnacentral:rRNA from 1 species
CAGUCGCCGCGGUAAUACGAAGGGUGCAAGCGUUACUCGGAAUUACUGGGCGUAAAGCGUGCGUAGGUGGUGGUUUAAGUCCGUUGUGAAAGCCCUGGGCUCAACCUGGGAAUUGCAGUGGAUACUGGGUCACUAGAGUGUGGUAGAGGAUAGUGGAAUUUCCGGUGUAGCAGUGAAAUGCGUAGAGAUCGGAAGGAACAUCUGUGGCGAAGGCGACUAUCUGGGCCAACACUGACACUGAGGCACGAAAGCAUGGGGAGCAAACAGGAUUAGAUACCCGAGUAGUCCCUGUCUCUUAUAC